AUUGAACGCUGGCGGCAUGCCUUACACAUGCAAGUCGAACGGCAGCACGGGUGCUUGCACCUGGUGGCGAGUGGCGAACGGGUGAGUAAUACAUCGGAACGUACCUUAUCGUGGGGGAUAACGCAGCGAAAGCUGUGCUAAUACCGCAUACGCCCUGAGGGGGAAAGCGGGGGAUCGAAAGACCUCGCGCGAUUAGAGCGGCUGAUGCCUGAUUAGCUUGUCGGUGGGGUAAAAGCCCACCAAGGCGACGAUCAGUAGCUGGUCUGAGAGGACGAUCAGCCACACUGGGACUGAGACACGGCCCAGACUCCUACGGGAGGCAGCAGUGGGGAAUUUUGGACAAUGGGGGAAACCCUGAUCCAGCAAUGCCGCGUGAGUGAAGAAGGCCUUCGGGUUGUAAAGCUCUUUUGUCAGGGAAGAAACACCGGCUCUAACACAGUCCGGGAAUGACGGUACCUGAAGAAUAAGCACCGGCUAACUACGUGCCAGCCGCCGCCGUAA
rnacentral:rRNA from 1 species